rnacentral:lncRNA from 1 species
GCUGUGUUUAUGAUUUUCUGAUUUGAUAUUUCUGGGUUUUACAUCCAGGUUAUAGUUAAUAUCGGAAUGGUUAUCCUGACUACUGUCAGUGGCGUAGGAGAUGCCUGGAAGAUGAUGAGUGCAUGGUGAUUCCUUCCUGGGAAGAUCUCCUUGUUCCAGGGAUGUGAGAUACCAGGAGGCCCUGAAACACAUGGUGGCUGAAAUAUUUCACAGGUGUAAGAUGUGAUUCUUCAUUCCAGGAAACCCUAAAAAGAUGUUCCUUUGCAUGGAAGUAAGUACUGAAAGUUAGGACAUUCCUUUUGAAAGCACCCCAGAAGCAGACACAUUCAUUAAACCUAUUUCUGUACUGCUGUCCCCAGAAAGGCGAAGAAACAGUGAAAAAGGAGAAGUCCACACUGGGAGAAAAGCUAUUUUAUAUAGCAUAAUAAUCUUGUCAGGAAACAGAAAACAAAUUCCUGCCCCAUCUCAAGCUGUGGAAAACCUUGAACUCACAAGAAGCAAUAAGCUCAAACCAUAUAAGAGAAAGCGACUCAAACUUUUGAUAUUAAAAAAGAGGAUCUGUAAUUCUGAAGUGAUUUGCAAAUCUGCAUUUAGGACCACUCAUCCAAGAUAA